rnacentral:lncRNA from 1 species
AAAGAAGUUCAUCAAAAGUUAUAUACAUAACAUUAACACACAUGACAAGAUGAGAUGAAAAUAUAAUAUAAAAUAAAAUAAACAGUAGUAGCGAAAAGUGGUGAUUAACCAGGAAGACUUGCUUACAAAGUUAUAACCCUGAUAAAUUUGCACAGCUUUUUUAACUUAUUUUUUAUUUUUAACUGAAAUAGUUUUCAAACUUUGGUAUGUUACAUCUGUGCAAGAAAAAAGUGUCCAAAUAUUGUGCUAUAAAAUUUGCCGAAGAACUACACUGCAAAAUGUAGUGAAAUUCAUCACCAAUCUCGUUACAAUGACAUAAAUUACAAUAUCUAAAGUUACGUUCAAUUUUAUUCCAUCUACCAGUUUCGAUGGGUAACUUGUUCGAAAUACCCGUUAUUACGUUAUUCUAUCGUUAUCACUUAAAAUAUUCAGAUAUUCCUCAAAUUCAAAAUUUUGUUUAAAGAAUUUGUAGGCUGAAUCUUUUGAUGAACAGUCAAUAUCAGCUCUCCAAUUUUGUUGAAACUGAUCAAAUAACUUUUGUUUUAAACUAAUACCCAACCAUUUAGAAUUGAAAUUUUCCUUGUGACAACCAUAUAUUACUAUAUCCACAUUUAUCUAAUGUAUCUUUAAUGUAUUUCAACCAAUAUGACCUAAAUUGGUUGUCAGAAUUCUUCAACAAAAUGUUUCUGUAUAAUAUUUUACCAAUCCUGUUAUCAUCCCCAUUUACCAUUUUUGACCAAAAAUUAACCAUGCACAGCUGUAUAUAUGAAGAUCUUUGAUAAAUACCAAGUUCACCAUACAUCAUAAAAUUAGGUGUCGACUUCUUCGGGUUUAAUAAUAGUUUAAAAAAUUUAAAGUGCACUCUUUCUAUAAUAUCAGUAUUGCUGAAACCCCAAAUCUCACACCCAUAUAGGAGAAUUUUUCACAAUUUUAUCAAAUAGAUCAUAUUUUGAUUGCACUGACAAGUUGUGUAACCUCCCUUAUUUCAAUACUUUAUACAUUUUGCUUUAUUUGCUUUUCUAACUAAAAUUUUCUUAGCACUCAUAAAUCUGCACAGUCACUCUGCUCAUCUAGGAUUGUGAUUGGAUUAUCGCCCUUUCCUUUGCUUUCUUUUGCUUAUGUCAUUCUGCUCAUUCGCUAUAAUGCCAUUUUGAAGAAGUUUGAUAAUUCUUCUCUUUUCUUGUCUUGGACGAAGUUAGUAUCAUGUUUAAUUAUUUGAGGCACAUGCGACAGACGUAUUUCAGAUAGAGUGGGCCAAUGGCUUCCUCUCUUGCUAAUCAAAAUACUAAUGAAUAGAAGUCUAGAACUUGAAUUGGUUAUGUAUGAGAUUCAUUCCUUUAUGCAUUUAAAUACAUUUUUGUUAAACUAAUUUUGUAGUUCACAGAAAAUAAUUGUCCGUGGACACAUUUAUCUACCUUCGAUGUUUGUUGUCUAAAUGUAGUCCCCUU